ACGGGUGAGUAACACGUGAGUAACCUGCCCUUGACUCUGGGAUAAGCCUGGGAAACCGGGUCUAAUACUGGAUACGACCUUCCCACGCAUGUGGUGUUGGUGGAAAGCUUUUGUGGUUUUGGAUGGACUCGCGGCCUAUCAGCUUGUUGGUGGGGUAAUGGCCUACCAAGGCGACGACGGGUAGCCGGCCUGAGAGGGUGACCGGCCACACUGGGACUGAGACACGGCCCAGACUCCUACGGGAGGCAGCAGUGGGGAAUAUUGCACAAUGGGCGCAAGCCUGAUGCAGCGACGCCGCGUGAGGGAUGAAGGCCUUCGGGUUGUAAACCUCUUUCAGUAGGGAAGAAGCCGGCCUUUCGGGGUUGGUGACGGUACCUGCAGAAGAAGCGCCGGCUAACUACGUGCCAGCAGCCGCGGUAAUACGUAGGGCGCAAGCGUUAUCCGGAAUUAUUGGGCGUAAAGAGCUCGUAGGCGGUUUGUCGCGUCUGCCGUGAAAGUCCGGGGCUUAACCCCGGAUCUGCGGUGGGUACGGGCAGACUAGAGUGCAGUAGGGGAGACUGGAAUUCCUGGUGUAGCGGUGAAAUGCGCAGAUAUCAGGAGGAACACCGAUGGCGAAGGCAGGUCUCUGGGCUGUAACUGACGCUGAGGAGCGAAAGCAUGGGGAGCGAACAGGAUUAGAUACCCUGGUAGUCCAUGCCGUAAA
rnacentral:rRNA from 1 species